GACAGAGGGUGCAAACGUUGUUCGGAAUUACUGGGCGUAAAGCGUGUGUAGGCGGUCCACUAAGUCGGGUGUGAAAGCCCUGGGCUCAACCCAGGAAGUGCACUCGAAACUGGCGGGCUAGAGUAUCGGAGAGGUUGGUGGAAUUCUCGGUGUAGAGGUGAAAUUCGUAGAUAUCGAGAGGAACACCGGUGGCGAAGGCGGCCAACUGGACGAAUACUGACGCUGAGACACGAAAGCGUGGGAGCAAACAGG
rnacentral:rRNA from 1 species